rnacentral:lncRNA from 11 species
AAGAGGGGGAGCACAAAACACCAGGAGCAAACAUCUUUUUCUGUUGGAAGAAGGGCCAAAAGAAGACAACAGUCUUUCAUAUUAUGCAACAACUAAACAAUUCCUUGUCGCUAUUGCUCUCUCAAUAUAGAGCCCAUGUAUUUGAUUCUGAAAGUUGACUUCAGUUCUUCUGGCACAACUAACAUUUCUCAGAUUCAGCCAUUCAUCUUGAAUGAGGUGACAAACAUGCUGGCCACAGGCUUUCCUCCAGGGUCCUUCCUGCUGAAUUGGGUCGCCUACGAACAAUAGCAAGAACUAAGAAUAUCUCUACUAGUCUGAUUCCCCUGAUAGUCCAGAGUUGUAGCUCUGAUGGCACCUGGACAACUUCCAAGAAGAGAAGAGGGAGAAAAAUGGGUGAAUGGCCAGGCGCCCUUCCAGUACCUCAAAAACACACCUGUUUCGACAGGCUUUUGAGUUCUGUUGUUGAUGUUUUAAAAGGUGCUUUUAGGAUGUUUUUAAAGAUAUUUUUAAGAUGUUUUUUAAAGAUGUUUUUAAGAUGUUUUUAAAUUGUUGAUUUUAGCCGGUUCUUGUAAGCCGCUCCGAGCCCUAGGGGAGUGGCGGCAUAUAAGUUUGAAAAAUAAAUAAAUAAAAUAAAUAAAAAACGAUUCUUCAUUGCUCUUUUCAUCCUGGUCGGGAGGGUGGGGGAAAUAUUACUUGUAAUGCCUCUGAAAUAUUGCUCUGUCCCUGAUGAAUACGUUAGUAAGUAAACUUACACAAGUAAUUUGUUACACAAGUAAUGCACACAGGCUGUUCUAUUGUAACAGGCACAUUCCCA